rnacentral:rRNA from 1 species
AUUGAACGCUGGCGGCAGGCCUAACACAUGCAAGUCGAGCGGAUGACGGGAGCUUGCUCCUUGAUUCAGCGGCGGACGGGUGAGUAAUGCCUAGGAAUCUGCCUGGUAGUGGGGGACAACGUUUCGAAAGGAACGCUAAUACCGCAUACGUCCUACGGGAGAAAUCAGGGGACCUUCGGGCCUUGCGCUAUCAGAUGAGCCUAGGUCGGAUUAGCUUGUUGGUGAGGUAAUGGCUCACCAAGGCGACGAUCCGUAACUGGUCUGAGAGGAUGAUCAGUCAAACUGGAACUGAGACACGGUCCAGACUCCUACGGGAGGCAGCAGUGGGGAAUAUUGGACAAUGGGCGAAAGCCUGAUCCAGCCAUGCCGCGUGUGUGAAGAAGGUCUUCGGAUUGUAAAGCACUUUAAGUUGGGAGGAAGGGUUGUAGAUUAAUACUCUGCAAUUUUGACGUUACCGACAGAAUAAGCACCGGCUAACUCUGUGCCAGCCGCCGCGGUAAGAC